CCCGACCUUCCUCUUCCUCGCAGCUUCCAACAUCGAUAACGUGGUGCUGGAUGAGGAUCGCUCCGGCGCUCGGCGGCUUCAGAACCUCUGGAGGGACCAGCGUGAGGAAGAGCUGGGUGAAUAUUACAUGAAAAAAUACGCCAAGUCCUCGGUGGGAGAGACCGUUUACGGCGGGGCCCGCCGGGCCCCCCGCC